rnacentral:rRNA from 1 species
UACGUAGGUCCCGAGCGUUGUCCGGAUUUAUUGGGCGUAAAGCGAGCGCAGGUGGUUUAAUAAGUCUGAUGUAAAAGGCAGUGGCUCAACCAUUGUGUGCAUUGGAAACUGUUAGACUUGAGUGCAGUAGAGGAGAGUGGAAUUCCAUGUGUAGCGGUGAAAUGCGUAGAUAUAUGGAGGAACACCGGUGGCGAAAGCGGCUCUCUGGCCUGUAACUGACACUGAGGCUCGAAAGCGUGGGGAGCAAACAGG